AUUGAACGCUGGCGGCAGGCCUAACACAUGCAAGUCGAACGAGUGGCGGACGGGUGAGUAAUGUCUGGGAAACUGCCUGAUAGAGGGGGAUAACUACUGGAAACGGUCGCUAAUACCGCAUACUAUCAGAUGAACCCAGAUGGGAUUAGCUGGUUGGUGGGGUAAAGGCUCACCAAGGCGACGAUCCCUAGCUGGUCUGAGAGGAUGAACGGCCACACUGGAACUGAGACACGGUCCAGACUCCUACGGGAGGCAGCAGUGGGGAAUAUUGGACAAUGGGCGCAAGCCUGAUGCAGCCAUGCCGCGUGUAUGAAGAAGGCCUUAGGGUGGGAAAGUACUUUCAGCGGGGAGGCGUUACCCGCAGAAGAAGCACCGGCUAACUCCGUGCCAGCAGCCGCGGUAAUUC
rnacentral:rRNA from 1 species